UACGGGGGGGGCAAGUGUUACUCGAAUGGACUUGGCGUAAGGGGUACGUAGAUUGCUUUUGGAGCUCUAAGUAAAAGACCUGCAGGAGGCUUGAAUUAACUUGGACAGACUUUUUAGCUAGAGUUCGGGAGAGGGGGUCAGUACUCUCAAUGUAAGGGUGAAAUCUGCAGAAAUUGACGGGGACUACCAAUAGGCAAAGGCAGACCCCCAGAACGAAACUGACGUUGAGGUACUAAAGCGUGGGGAGCAAACGGG
rnacentral:rRNA from 1 species